rnacentral:rRNA from 1 species
UACGGGGGGUGCGAGCGUUGUCCGGAAUUACUGGGCGUAAAGAGCUCGUAGGUGGUUUGUCGCGUUGUUCGUGAAAACCGGGGGCUUAACCCUCGGCGUGCGGGCGAUACGGGCAGACUGGAGUACUGCAGGGAGACUGGAAUUCCUGGUGUAGCGGUGGAAUGCGCAGAUAUCAGGAGGAACACCAAUGGCGAAGGCAGCUCGCUGGACGGUACUGACGCUGAGGCGCGAAAGCGUGGGGGAGCAAACAGGAUAGAUACCCAGUA